rnacentral:misc_RNA from 1 species
AAUUCUCAACUCUACCAGUUUUCUGUGUAGAGCUUGGAUAUGGAGGUCGUGCAGAAUGCUCACGCGUACUGCUCCUCUCAAAUGGAUUAGCGAGUUCACUGGACUCCGUCUAUUGGUGUGAUAAUUAUCUACGCCGUGGAUUGGGUUUAGACUUGCUUCUAACCGUCCGCAAGGACAAUCUUUGACA